UACGUAGGGGGCUAGCGUUGUCCGGAAUCAUUGGGCGUAAAGAGCGUGUAGGCGGUCCGGUAAGUCCGUUGUGAAAGUCAAGGGCUCAACCCUUGAAUGCCGGCGGAUACUGUCGGGCUAGAGUCCGGAAGAGGCGAGUGGAAUUCCCGGUGUAGCGGUGAAAUGCGCAGAUAUCGGGAGGAACACCGGUGGCGAAGGCGGUUCUCUGGGCCUGACCUGACGCUGAGGAGCGAAAGCGUGGGGAGCGAACAGG
rnacentral:rRNA from 1 species